UACCUGGAGGGCGCAUCCCAUGGCGCCGAAUCCUCUGUCCGCCAUGGCAGCUAUUGCUGCUACUCUACAAUUUGUUGGAGAUUAUGGAUAGCCUCCAUCAAUACUCUAACUUGCUAUACCAAGGCGGCAAGCUAUUGUCGGUCCGCUGUCGAUCGCAAGGCACUCGGCUCCCUAAAGGUCAUCGAAAGUGUGCCACGAUGAGUGUCGAGCAAAACUGAGGG
rnacentral:lncRNA from 1 species